CCAAUCAUUAUGUCAUAUCAGCAUUCUUAUUGUUUGGUCUUUUCAUAGCUGCAGACCUAUGGAUCGUGUCAAUUACUCGACUGUUGCUGAGAUACAAGAUCCUUUGAUAGCUAAGGCUGCUAAGAGGAUUCUCUUCGGUGAAGGAGAACUGGAAGACUAGCUUGGAAACUUUCGCCAGGAUUCAGAUAUUUUGUCUACAGACCUAUGGAUCGUGUCAAUUACACGACUGUUGCUGCGAUACAAGAUCCUUUGCUGAGGUAAACUGAAGUGUUUACCUCAGUUUUUCAUAAGUUAUUUGGUCAGUAGUAUAUCCGUAAAGCUUUUCUUUCACCAUAAGUCCUCUAUGGAACAUUUGAGAUUUGACAGGGUACUGGUGUGAUGAAUGUGAUUAGUUCCCAACAGGAGGUUGCUUUUGAUAGGCUUUAGAGGAAAUAAUCAUCCAAAGUGGAAUUGUUAACUGAUUUUAAGCUUCAGUUCUGUGAUGAAUAGCUUAGACCUGAACAGAGAAACUGAAAUUUAUUUCCACUUGUACAGUCUUCUGACUGCUGCUUAAGCAUUCUGAUGUGAUGGUAUGGGAUUAAAAUGGUUAGGGGAGAUGAAAUAGGUCUCGGAGAUUAGAUGUCAAGGUUGCAGAUGGAUGAGUUGGUCGGCCUUCUAUCAGGCGGUAUGACCAGUACUGUUGAUUUCUGUUUUAUUAACCUACUUUUGUGAUACCAAAAGUUUGGUUAUUACUUGAAUUAUGUUGGAAGUUUAAAUCACAUACUACAUUGUCUCUGCUUUAUAAUUCUGUAUUCUGCUCGAUAUUUGUGUACACAUUGUCGGAAGAGGACUCCAGAUGAAUGAAGUAUAGCUAGACAGUCAUGACAACCUACAAUUAUUUGGCUUAUGAGUGAAAGCAUAAUGUUGGCUUAGUUGUAUGCAAAUCAUUUAAGCUUGGAAUCCAGCCUAGAGCAGAAAUGCACUUCUCCCCUGAACACAAUCAAUAUAAUGUUUAACUAGGAAGAGCUGUUACUAGGAAAAAUAUUGAGUGAAGGUGAAAACUAGGAUCUCUAGC